CCUGUAGCUCAGUUGGACAGAGCAGCGGCCUUCUAAGCCGCGGGUCGGGGGUUCGAACCCCUCCAGG
rnacentral:tRNA from 2 species